GAUGAACGCUGGCGGCGUGCCUAACACAUGCAAGUCGAACGAACAGACGAUUAGCGUUCUCCUCUGAGGUUAGCGGCGGACGGGUGAGUAAUGAGUGGAUCAGCAACUUCUAAUACUGGGGGGAAACCGGGACACAGGCGCUAUUACCCCCUAAUAUAUCUAACGGGUGGGUUCAAUAGUUAUAGACGGUUUUGCUGUCAGCUUUAUAUGAAUUCGCGUCGGAUUAGCUAGUUGGUAGGGUAACGGCCUACCAAGGCAACGAAGCGUAGCCGAACUGAGAGGGUGAUCGGCCACACUGGAACUGAGACACGGUCCAGACUCCUACGGGAGGCAGCAGUAGGGAAUCUUGGGCAAUGGGCGAAAGCCUGACGCAGCAACGCCGCGUGAGUUAUGAAGGCCUUCGGAUCGUAAAGCCCUGUUAUUGGGGAAGAACAGAUGUGGAAGUAAAUAUGCACGUCUUGACGGUACCUAAAGAAAAAGCACCGGCUAACUACGUG
rnacentral:rRNA from 1 species